GAUGAACGCUGGCGGCGUGCCUAAUACAUGCAAGUCGAGCGAACGGACGAGAAGCUUGCUUCUCUGAUGUUAGCGGCGGACGGGUGAGUAACACGUGGAUAUCCUACCUAUAAGACUGGGAUAACUUCGGGAAACCGUAGCUAAUACCGGAUAAUAUUUUGAACCGCAUGGUUCAAAAGUGAAAGACGGUCUUGCUGUCACUUAUAGAUGGAUCCGCGCUGCAUUAGCUAGUUGGUAAGGUAACGGCUUACCAAGGCAACGAUGCAUAGCCGACCUGAGAGGGUGAUCGGCCACACUGGAACUGAGACACGGUCCAGACUCCUACGGGAGGCAGCAGUAGGGAAUCUUCCGCAAUGGGCGAAAGCCUGACGGAGCAACGCCGCGUGAGUGAUGAAGGUCUUCGGAUCGUAAAACUCUGUUAUUAGGGGAGAACAUAUGUGUAAGUAACUGUGCACAUCUUGACGGUACCUAAUCAGAAAGCCACGGCUAACUACGUG
rnacentral:rRNA from 1 species